rnacentral:rRNA from 1 species
UACGUAGGGGGCAAGCGUUGUCCGGAUUCACUGGGUUUAAAGGGUGCGUAGGUGGGCAGGUAAGUCAGUGGUGAAAUCUCCGGGCUUAACUCGGAAACUGCCAUUGAUACUAUCUGUCUUGAAUACCGUGGAGGUUAGCGGAAUAUGUCAUGUAGCGGUGAAAUGCUUAGAUAUGACAUAGAACACCAAUUGCGAAGGCAGCUGGCUACACGAAUAUUGACACUGAUGCACGAAAGCGUGGGGAUCAAACAGG